GAGUUUGAUCCUGGCUCAGGAUGAACGCUGGCGGCGUGCUUAACACAUGCAAGUCGAACGGAAGUAGCAAUACUUCAGUGGCGCACGGGUGAGGAACACGUAGCUCAUCUGCCCAGAAGUGCGGGAUAACGGUCCGAAAGGAUUGCUAAUACCGCAUAAGCUCACGGACUGUAGAGGUGUGUGAGAAAAGGCUUCGGUCGCUUUUGGAGGAGGCUGCGGCCCAUCAGGUAGUUGGUGCGGUAACGGCGCACCAAGCCGACGACGGGUAGGGGACCUGAGAGGGUGACCCCCCACACUGGGACUGAGACACGGCCCAGACUCCUACGGGAGGCAGCAGUGAGGAAUAUUGCCCAAUGGGCGCAAGCCUGAGGCAGCGACGCCGCGUGGGUGAAGAAGGCCUUCGGGUCGUAAGCCCUUUCUGUGUGCGAGCAAGGACGGUAGCACAGGAAAAAGUCU
rnacentral:rRNA from 1 species